rnacentral:rRNA from 1 species
AUGAGAAAUAAGGUGGAUAAGAAGAAGGCCUCAUGGCUAGAUAGCAUCUACAAGUUAAAAGAAAAGUGGACUGGAUGUUACACGAGGGAUGUUUUCACAUUGGGAAUGAGAAGCACACAAUUAAGUGAGAGUUUCAAUAGUGAUUUGAAAAAACAUCUCAAAUCAGAUUUUGACAUCAUUCGCUUCUUAAAACAUUUUGAAAGGGUUGUGCAAGGAAAAAGAAACAAGGAGCUAGAUGCAGAAUUUGAAGCUACUAAAAAACUGCCUAGAAUAGGGAUGGAGACUCCUAUGUUGUUGCAAACAAGCGAAGCUUACACACCGACCAUAUUUGAAGCAUUCAAAUCUGAAUAUAGAAGAUCCAUGGCUGCAUGUAGUAGAGCAUUGGAUGGAGAUAAUACAUAUGCUGUUACAAUUGUGAGGGCUAAUGGUGAUUUGAGUUCCGAACUAGAGCGCAUAGUUGUCGGUGAUCCCUUGGAGCAAACGGCUUCUUGUAGCUGUUUUCAGUUUAAAAAAGGACCGGAGUAUUGUGUGCGCAUGCUUUAA